ACUUCUAAUAGGCCAUGAACUAGAUCAGAAUUGUUGAUGUACGAAUCUCAUAUUGAUAGCUGACAAUAUUGGGACCCUACAUAUAAGGCGUAGGGUUCUUUUAAUGACGUGAGACCUUUUGGAAAAUCUGUACGAGCUUAGUCCAAAAUGGAUAAUAUCACAUCUUAUUAAGAAUAUUUUUGUGUUGGUUAAGCUCAACAUGAAUCUUUCUUAGCAAGUCCGCAAGAAGUGAUCCCACAUUUUAUCGAGUCUGAAUAAACCAAAAGUCUUGAGCGACCGAUCCGGCAAAAUAUCUCAAAAGAUAAAGAAGUAUCAUUAAUUUCUUCAUACUCAUUUCUAAUAAAUUAGAAAGAGUUGAAUUAGGAACCAUUAUGUUUCAUCUGUGUCAGUUUAAGUUUCUUCUUCCAUAUUGGUUGAAUUUACUUUUGCUGUGAGAAUCAAUGUUUUUUAGUUAGUUUUUCUUGUUUGUCAUUCCUACUUUGUCAACCAUUUUAACAAUUAAGCUCCAAGUGGUUAUUUUUUCAGGUCAUUUGCUCACUGUUUAACACGGAACAAGAUGUUCAACAAACAUGUGUUCAUUGUGGGGUUUGUAUGGGGAAGUACUAUUGCUCAAAAUGCAACUUCUUUGAUGAUGAUGUUUCCAAGGAUCAAUACCACUGUGAUAAAUGCGGAAUCUGCAGGAUCAAGUCUUACUAAUAUUGCUCUAAACUUUCAGUUCUUCGAUACAUUUUCCUAAACGUUUUCAUUCAUAUGAACACAAAGUCAACGAUAUCUGAGAAAUUGACCUGGCCUGGUCAUUAAACAUUUCAUCUGAAAUCUCUUAUGAGGAGAAAUUUUAGUAAGAAAUGGCAAAACACUUGCUGGUUAGUUAGCCAUAGAUGCUUCAUCUCGUUCAUUAGAAUUUACUUGUGGGCUGUGAUUGAUCAUGGAUAGUAUUGGAGUGAAAAUUAGGACAUAUUACUUAACAUGCAUGCAUUUUAUGUUUGAAGUGUGUUAUAUCAUGUCUAAUAUUUCCCUUUUUUUUUUCAUUUCCUGCUCAAAAUGCUUAAAUGCAGAACUGGUGGCAACAAUAAUUUCUUUCACUGCAACAGAUGUGACUGCUGUUAUUCAAAUAUGAUGAAGGAAUCACAUAUUUGUGUAGAAAGAGCAAUGCACCAUAAUUGCCCUGUUUGCUUUGAGACAAGUGCUAAAUUUGAGGAAAAACGAAAUUUAGAAGGUUGCGUCGACACCUAUGGCAGAAAUGUAUCAAAACAAGAUGGUUUGGAUUCUUUGCAAUGACUGCGGGGAAACAUCAGAGGUUAACUUCCAUAUUGUCGCACGUAAGUGCCUUAACUGUAAGUCCUAUAACACAAGGCAGACGAGAGGAGGCCCAAGUUCAUGCUCAUCUAGCAUUGAAGAAAUUGUUAGAUGAGGUUUAAGGUUCUUAAAUGGAAACCUAAGAGCGCCAUUCUGUUUCACGUUGUUGUUGUCAAAUGUCAACCAUCGAUCGUUGUAUCAAUGUUCAAGGCAAGUUCAAGGCAACAUCAUUUUAGGGUAUUGAUUUAGCUGUGAACUUUGUGGAUCUUUUGGCUUUAUCCUUUACGACAACAAUUACGACAACAACAACAAUAACUACGCGUCAAUCCCAAAUAAAUUGAGAAACCGAAGUGUAUUGAAAAUUGGGAUGGUUUGGUUCAUUGGCCCAACAACACCCUGGGAUUAGGUUCACUUCUAGUCUAGAAUUAGAAAGAAGACCAAGUAGUCUAAGGCUUGUUAGUGAGCUAGUCUAACCAAAAAACCUUAAGCCAUUUUUUCAUAAUUAGAUCUUUUCUUCUUUUCAUUCUAAAUUACUAAUAUCGUAAUUUGGA